rnacentral:lncRNA from 1 species
UAUUAUAUAAUAGUAGUUUCAUGCUACUUUUAUUUAUUUAAGCUUUGCAGGUCAACUGUAAAGGAAAUCAGGAAAGUUCUGUAUCUAAAUGGAGUCAACUACAUUAAACAAACUCAAAGACAGUGUUUUUUCCUCUGUGUGACUCCUAAAGCAGCAGUAAAUUUAUGCCAGAAUCACCCACCUCUCACGACAUUGGAGGGCAGCUUCUGCCAGUUCAGCUUCUUCAUUCUCAAUGUUGGAGUCUUCAUCGUCUUGUGGGGAGGCCUGCCCGAGCCAAGAAGGUAGCUGGAUUGGGAGGCCACCACGGCUUCUAUAUGAUCUCCUGCCAUGCCAGGCAGGAGGGGUGGGGGUGGAGGGAUGCCCCCCAUGCCAGGCAAUGGGGGUGGAGGGGGAGGGAUGCCCCCCAUGCCAGGCAAUGGGGGUGGAGGGGGAGGGAUACCCCCCAUGCCAGGCAAUGGGGGUGGAGGGGGAGGGAUGCCCCCCAUGCCAGGCAAUGGGGGUGGAGGGGGAGGGAUGCCCCCCAUGCCAGGCAAUGGGGGUGGAGGGGGAGGGAUGCCCCCCAUGCCAGGCAAUGGGGGUGGAGGGGGAGGGAUGCCCCCCAUGCCAGGCAAUGGGGGUGGAGGGGGAGGGNAUUCAUCAUGGGGGACGUGGGGGUCACAGUUGCCAUGCCAGAGGGUGGGGGUGGAGGUGGUGGGGGUGGAGGUAUUGGGGCAGGAGCAGUGUUGGGUGGAGGGUUAGAUGUCUCUGGCAAAGCAAAGCAGGCUGUGAGCUGGGAGGAUGAGAUCUUUUCAUUGGUGGGUGGCCCUGAGGGAGUUGCUGGUGCCUUGGAGGAGGGGUUUGAUGAUCCUGCUGAGCUCCGAGCUGCAUGUACACAUGGCUCUAGCUCAGCCUGGACGCCUCCGUUUGCACUCCCAGACAGACAUUUUUCAGCUCGCUUUUGUUUGCUUGGAUGUUUCUUGAUAGACAGCAGCCUCUCGAUGACUUCUUCAACUGUGUUCCCUUGGACUAGAGAAACAAGUCACAGUCAGAGGAGGGGAUGGGGCCCAAGGGUUGUUCAUGCUAUUCAACCCUCACCAAGCAGCAGAUCUGGAGCCACAGAGU